GUUUUAAUAGUUUAAAUAAAACCUUGGUCUUGUAAACCAAUAAUGAGAGACCUCUCUUAAAACU
rnacentral:tRNA from 1 species